GUGGAUUAGAUACCCUAGUAGUCCACGCCGUAAACGAUGUCGACUUGGAGGUUGUGCCCUUGAGGCGUGGCUUCCGGAGCUAACGCGUUAAGUCGACCGCCUGGGGAGUACGGCCGCAAGGUUAAAACUCAAAUGAAUUGACGGGGGCCCGCACAAGCGGUGGAGCAUGUGGUUUAAUUCGAUGCAACGCGAAGAACCUUACCUGGUCUUGACAUCCACGGAAGUUUUCAGAGAUGAGAAUGUGCCUUCGGGAACCGUGAGACAGGUGCUGCACGGUCGUCGCCAGCU
rnacentral:rRNA from 1 species